rnacentral:rRNA from 1 species
UACGGAGACUGCGAGCGUUACUCGGAUUCACUGGGCGUAAAGGGUACGUAGGUGGCAUAGUAUGUCAGGUGUGAAAUCUCGGGGCUUAACUCCGAAACUGCGCCUGAAACUACUAAGCUAGAGUUUUGGAGGGGACAGUGGAAUUCUUGGUGUAGCGGUGAAAUGCGUAGAUAUCAAGAGGAACACCGAUAGCGAAGGCAGCUGUCUGGACAAAUACUGACACUCAAGUACGAAAGCGUGGGUAGCGAAAGGG